rnacentral:lncRNA from 1 species
GUGGCUGCCUGGCCAAUCAGCAGGGGUGACCCCCACCCCACCCCCAGCAGUCAGGCCAGGUAAGAGCCCCUCGCCUUAACUGGUUUGUGCUGAAGAGACUUCUUGACUUCCUGCAUAGGCUCCCCCACCACCAGGAUGAUGGGGGACUCCUGUGCAGCCCCACUCCCUCUGUCCCAAGGCCAGGAUCUCCAUUCCCAGUAACUCUUGCGAGGUCCCCACAUCACCCAAGGCUCUGGCUUUGUGCAGGUUCAGAGUCUGCCUCUCAUGCGUGCUGUGACCACUGCAGACUCACAGACUGAGGAGCGGCUCAGCCCUUCAGUGAUGAGACGGUGCAACAUGUUUGUGGAUCAGAGGAGUCAGGGUCAGCAGAUUAAUUGAUCCUUAAUUGUUGUUGGGGAAGUUUUCUUUUCCUCUUCCAAGUGAAUGCUAUCAACACACUUUUCCAAGAGUCAUUUUGAAUUUUCCUAAUUUACAACUGCAAAGCCCACCUUCCUGUCCGUUGCUGAAUAUCACAAGGUCUCCUAUUAUCCUGAAUGUCUCCAGAUCGGCUUUCUGUGACUGAGGUGGAGCAAGGUGUUUUCUCCUAUACUUGAAUGUCAAGAGUUUUCAUACAGCUACCUGAAUAUCAUGAAGCAUCAUUUUUCCCAUCUGAUCAUCAGGAACUAGCAUCUCACCUACCAGAGUGUGACAAAUGCUUAUUGCAAACACCUGAAUGUUAAAACAUUUCCCAUCGCCUGCAAGUGUCAGGAGGUCACACUCUUACCUGCAUGAGGGCAGCCUUACCUCUUCUACCUGAAUUGCCAGAGGCCCUCAUCGCCUCCACCUACAGGUUAAGAAUUCUCACCUCCACCACCCAAGUGUCACCCUGUCGCACUUUCUCUACCUGAAAAUCAAGAGGUCUUACAUCUUCCAGCUGAAUGUCAAGAGCCCCACUUCCUCUAGCUGAAGGGCAUACAAGUUCUAUUUCGUGACUUGAAUGUGAAUAGGUUUCAGCUGCACUACUGAGUGUUAGCGGACCUCACUUAUUUUAACUGAGCAUCAAGUUGUGUCUCAUAAAUAACCAGAAAAAGACUUUGGAAAUAUGGUUCAAGAAAUGGCAAGAAGAAUUGAAGAAGUGGGCCCAAGUGCAGAGGCUCAUGCCUGUAAUCCCAGCACUUUGAGAGGGUGAGGCAGGCAGAUCACUUGAGCUCAGGAGCCCCAGACCAGCCUGGGCAACACGGCAAAACCCCGUCUGUACAAAAAAUACAAAAAUUAGCCAGGUGCAGUGGCACCUGCAUCCCAGCUACUCAGAAAGCUGAGGCAGGAGAAUCAUUUGAACCCAGAAGGCAGAAGUUGCAGUGAGCCGAGAUCGCACCAUUGCACUCAAGCUUGGGCAAUGGGAGUGAAACCCUGUCUCAAAAAAAAAAAAGAAGAAGAUUAAAGUUUUGACUGUUAAAGAAAAUAUUAUUCGGGUGUUUUUAAUGGAUAGCACCUAUUUCUUUACAAAUAUUUAGGAGGUAUCAAUAAAAAAGUCUGAAGACCCAAUGUCAGUGUCUGGAUUCUAGAAGACCAUUACAGUUUGACUCCGCAAAGCUUACCCACUUCUGAUUCUAGAAGGGGCUGCCAGUCAUCGUGCCUGCCCGUGGCUAUAGUGAUGGUUGCGGGAAAAGUACCUGGCCCGGCCCAUUUAAUUUUGUCAUUAAACUAAUGGAAGCAACAAACAUCUCAACUCAGAGUGACUUUGUCUGACCUUCUUCAUGCUGUUCUAAGAGCGAAGGAGAAAUGGGUGACAGGUCUGGGGCCAGAGGGUGGGGUCCCAUCCGAGGGCAUGGCUCAGGCUGAGGCAGAGUGCUCAGCACAGGGGGCAGGAUGGGGGCUCCCCAUCUCCCCUCAAACUCCUCCCUGCUCUCUGCUUCCACCCUGACCCCCAGGCACCCCUCCAGCUCAUCCCAGCCAUUCUCGCUGCUCCUGCUCACCCCAACCACCCGCUGCCUUCGCCAGCCGUGCCCACUUCUGUCCCCAUGCCUUAUUUACCUGGGCAAUCCAACUCCCACCCCAGUUUUUCUCACCC